ACUCAAAUUUAGUAAGAAUAAUGCCAAUUGGAGCACCAGAAAUGCACAGUAAAAAUCAAGUGCUCUCCAUGAUUCUUAUUCCCCUCCAGGUAAAUCUAACCCUCUUCCCACUGCUCCACUCCUGUGCAUCUCACCAUACAUCUGAAGUGCUGGAUAUUUAUGGCAUCACCAGGCUUCUUCCUUCCAGCAGUGCUCCCCUUUCCUCUUGGGGGACAGCAGAGGUAGAGACACAGAUCUGGUUGUGGUUUGUAAAGCUGGGAGGAGGCCCAUCCUGACUCUGCCUUAUGCAGAUGGGGGAGUGGCAUCUACUGGCUCAUCUGUGCCCAUCCCAUUGAAACAGCAUGACUACUCCAAAGCAAGGGCAGAUGAAGAAGACAGUCUUGACCAUGGCCUGGUGCUGCUCUCAUGGGCAAGACAUUGCCCUCCUCCAGCUGUGCCCUCUCAGAACACUGCGUGACACAAUGCCAAUGCCAAGGCUGACAGGGGCAGAAGGCCAGGGGACACUAGCUUCACUCCAACCUGCUGCUGCUGAGCUUCCAUCAGGUCCAUGUGCACAGUGAUGCAAUCAAGAGGACCGUCCACUGGCUAGUCUUCAGAGCAAGAGCAAACAUAGGCCUCAGUGCAGGUCAGUAGAUGACACCCAGGGAAAAUGGGCCAAGAGUCAGGAAACAGGCAUGUGCCUCCCUACACACUCAUGGCUCCUCCAUGAACUCGGUCCUCUGGAAAUGAUGAAGACAAAAGGGAGACUAUUUUGAAGACACUCUGCUUCAAGCCCCUUUCCACACUCACUGCAUAUGGCCCAAAGAAAGGUAAUCUCCACUUGUGCAGCUUCUCUCCCCUCUGACAGCAAGUGUGCACAUGUUUGUUUAGGAAUCCUGUGGGAAAUUCAACUGGAAAAUAGGAACGUAAUGAUGCUGGUCACCCCACAACGCCUCACUUUCAACUGAGUGAGGAGAUUUCCAUGGACUUGAAUGUUUCACUGACUCAUCAAAAUGACCUGUUCUUAGCUAACACUGGAGAAAACCUCUUCCCACACAUACCCACAUUUGAAGUGAAAUGUCCAUUGCCCUGCAGUAAAUAAAAAUGGUAACUUAAG
rnacentral:lncRNA from 1 species